rnacentral:rRNA from 1 species
CAGUCGCCACGGUAAUACGUAGGUCCCGAGCGUUGUCCGGAUUUAUUGGGCGUAAAGGGAGCGCAGGCGGUUUAGUAAGUCUGAAGUUAAAGGCAUUGGCUCAACCAAUGUAUGCUUUGGAAACUGUUAGACUUGAGUGCAGAAGGGGAGAGUGGAAUUCCAUGUGUAGCGGUGAAAUGCGUAGAUAUAUGGAGGAGCACCGGUGGCGAAAGCGGCUCUCUGGUCUGUCACUGACGCUGAGGCUCGAAAGCGUGGGUAGCGAAAAGGAUUAGAUACCCGAGUAGUCCCUGUCUCUUAUACA